ACGCUGGCGGCGUGCCUAACACAUGCAAGUCAACUUGACUGAAGGAGCAAUCUGACAGUAGAGUGGCGCAAGGGUGCGUAACGCGUAAGUAACUUGCCCAAGGUAAGGAAUAACGUCGAGAAAUCGGCGCUAAUACCUCAUAAUGCAGCGGAUCCGCAUGGAUAUGUUGUUAAAGGUUUACCGCCUUGGGAUAGGCUUGCGUCUGAUUAGUUAGUUGGUGUGGUAACGGCACACCAAGGCUACGAUCAGUAACUGGUCUGAGAGGAUGAUCAGUCACACUGGAACUGAGACACGGUCCAGACUCCUACGGGAGGCAGCAGUGAGGAAUAUUGGGCAAUGCUCGAAAGAGUGACCCAGCAACGCCGCGUGGAGGAUGAAGGUAUUCUAUAUCGUAAACCCCUGUGAGAGCAGACGAAAGACAGAUUAUUAAUCUGGAUGACUGUAUGCUCAGAGGAAGCCCCGGCUAACUACGUG
rnacentral:rRNA from 1 species